rnacentral:rRNA from 1 species
AUGCUCCCAGAGGAGCUCCUCGUGGAGAUCAUGGCACGGGUGCCCUACCGGUCCCUCUGCCGCUUCCGGUGCGUGUCGCCGUCGUGGCGCGCCCUCUGCUCCGACCCCAGCCUCCUCAAGCGGUCGCCGCAGACCCUCUCCGGGUUCUUCUGCUACUCCCUCCCAGAUCCGUGGAUAUACUACCGCGACACACGUUUCCUCAAUUUUCCCGGCGGCAGUUCAGGCUGCCGGCCCCUGAUCGACCCGUCCUUCCCUUUUCUGCACGCCGGCGGCUACACCGAUGGCUUCGUGGUCGCGGAUUGCUGCGGAGGCCUCCUCCUCGUAUGCGAGUGGUCCAAGUUACGCCAACCGCGGUAUCCGCUGGACAGAGAUUAUCUCGUGUGCAACCCUGCUACCGAGAAGUGGACCGUCUUGCCUCGCAUCGAGGAGCUGGACCCGGAGAACGUCAUCCGUCUGUGCUUCGACCCGGCCCAACCCCACUGUUUUCGGGUGUUUGUGUUCGUGCAGGAUCAUGAAAAUGAUUGCAGGCUCACUGGAGUGAAGAUCUACUCGUCCGAGACCAGAAUGUGGACUUCAGAGCAGAUUGGGUGGGGUAAAAGAACUAGUGUGAUUGAUUGUGACGAUACGGCUUCUGUUUUUCUGAACGGCACUCUGCAUCUGAUCGAUUACGAUUCUCGUAUUGUUACCGUGGACAUGGAUGGCAAGACUUGGCAGAAAUUUCCGAGCCCAUGCCGUGAUGACGGAUGCAUCGGGCAAUCUCAGGGGCGCUUGCACGCUAUGCAGAUAGAUUGCUAUCAUGAUUACGGUUGCCUACUUUCAGUUUGGGUUCUUGAGGAUUUUGCUCGUGGACGUUGGACUCUGAAGCAUACUGCAAACGAGCCCUGCUCCGGUGCAACCCCCUAG